rnacentral:rRNA from 1 species
GAUGAACGCUGGCGGCGUGCCUAAUACAUGCAAGUAGAACGCUGAAGGAGGAGCUUGCUCUUCUGGAUGAGUUGCGAACGGGUGAGUAACGCGUAGGUAACCUGCCUGGUAGCGGGGGAUAACUAUUGGAAACGAUAGCUAAUACCGCAUGACAACAGUUAUUGCAUGAUAACUGUUUAAAAGGGGCAACUGCUCCACUACCAGAUGGACCUGCGUUGUAUUAGCUAGUUGGUGAGGUAACGGCUCACCAAGGCGACGAUACAUAGCCGACCUGAGAGGGGGAUCGGCCACACUGGGACUGAGACACGGCCCAGACUCCUACGGGAGGCAGCAGUAGGGAAUCUUCGGCAAUGGACGGAAGUCUGACCGAGCAACGCCGCGUGAGUGAAGAAGGUUGUCGGAUCGUAAAGCUCUGUUGUAAGAGAAGAACGAGUGUGAGAGUGGAAAGUUCACACUGUGACGGUAGCUUACCAGAAAGGGACGGCUAACUACGUG